rnacentral:rRNA from 1 species
GAUGAACGCUGGCGGCGUGCUUAACACAUGCAAGUCGAACGAUGAAGCCCAGCUUGCUGGGUGGAUUAGUGGCGAACGGGUGAGUAACACGUGAGUAACCUGCCCUUAACUCUGGGAUAAGCCUGGGAAACUGGGUCUAAUACCGGAUAGGAGCGUCCACCGCAUGGUGGGUGUUGGAAAGAUUUAUCGGUUUUGGAUGGACUCGCGGCCUAUCAGCUUGUUGGUGAGGUAAUGGCUCACCAAGGCGACGACGGGUAGCCGGCCUGAGAGGGUGACCGGCCACACUGGGACUGAGACACGGCCCAGACUCCUACGGGAGGCAGCAGUGGGGAAUAUUGCACAAUGGGCGCAAGCCUGAUGCAGCGACGCCGCGUGAGGGAUGACGGCCUUCGGGUUGUAAACCUCUUUCAGUAGGGAAGAAGCGAAAGUGACGGUACCUGCAGAAGAAGCACCGGCUAACUACGUGCCAGCAGCCGCGGUAAUACGUAGGGUGCGAGCGUUAUCCGGAAUUAUUGGGCGUAAAGAGCUCGUAGGCGGUUUGUCGCGUCUGUCGUGAAAGUCCGGGGCUUAACCCCGGAUCUGCGGUGGGUACGGGCAGACUAGAGUGCAGUAGGGGAGACUGGAAUUCCUGGUGUAGCGGUGGAAUGCGCAGAUAUCAGGAGGAACACCGAUGGCGAAGGCAGGUCUCUGGGCUGUAACUGACGCUGAGGAGCGAAAGCAUGGGGAGCGAGCAGGAUUAGAUACCCUGGUAGUCCAUGCCGUAAACGUUGGGCACUAGGUGUGGGGACCAUUCCACGGUUUCCGCGCCGCAGCUAACGCAUUAAGUGCCCCGCCUGGGGAGUACGGCCGCAAGGCUAAAACUCAAAGGAAUUGACGGGGCCCGCACAAGCGGCGGAGCAUGCGGAUUAAUUCGAUGCAACGCGAAGAACCUUACCAAGGCUUGACAUGUUCUCGAUCGCCGUAGAGAUACGGUUUCCCCUUUGGGGCGGGUUCACAGGUGGUGCAUGGUUGUCGUCAGCUCGUGUCGUGAGAUGUUGGGUUAAGUCCCGCAACGAGCGCAACCCUCGUUCCAUGUUGCCAGCACGUAAUGGUGGGGACUCAUGGGAGACUGCCGGGGUCAACUCGGAGGAAGGUGAGGACGACGUCAAAUCAUCAUGCCCCUUAUGUCUUGGGCUUCACGCAUGCUACAAUGGCCGGUACAAUGGGUUGCGAUACUGUGAGGUGGAGCUAAUCCCAAAAAGCCGGUCUCAGUUCGGAUUGGGGUCUGCAACUCGACCCCAUGAAGUCGGAGUCGCUAGUAAUCGCAGAUCAGCAACGCUGCGGUGAAUACGUUCCCGGGCCU